rnacentral:rRNA from 1 species
UACAGAGGUCCCAAGCGUUGUUCGGAUUCACUGGGCGUAAAGGGUGCGUAGGUGGCGGGGUAAGUCUGAUGUGAAAUCUCCAAGCUUAACUCCGAAACUGCAUUCGAUACUGCCGUGCUUGAGGACUGGAGAGGAGACUGGAAUUUACGGUGUAGCGGUGAAAUGCGUAGAUAUCGUAAGGAAGACCAGUGGCGAAGGCGGGUCUCUGGACAGUUCCUGACGCUGAGGCACGAAGGCCAGGGGAGCAAACGGG